rnacentral:misc_RNA from 1 species
AACGCACCUUGCCGCUCCUUGGUAUUCCGAGGAGCAUGCCUGUUCGAGUGUCGUUAAAUUCAUCAACCUUUACUAGCUUUUGUUGGUAUUGGCUUGGAUGGUGGGGGUCUUUUUUUGCUGGCAUUCAUACUUUGUCUGCUCCCCUUAAAGAUAUUAGCCGGUACACCUUGUGGACCAUCUAUUGGCGUGAUAAUUAUCUAUGCUGUUGGAUGUCUGUCUGCUUUUAAAAAUGGUGGUGCUGCUUCUAAUCGUCCUCCUUGGACAAUUAUCGAUCAUUUGACCUCGAAUCAGGUAGGACUACCCGCUGAACUUAA